rnacentral:miRNA from 1 species
UCUUUCCUAACCCUCCCAUUCC